AUUGAACGCUGGCGGCAGGCCUAACACAUGCAAGUCGAACGAGUGGCGGACGGGUGAGUAAUGUCUGGGAAACUGCCUGAUGGCGGGGGAUAACUACUGGAAACGGUAGCUAAUACCGCAUACCAUCGGAUGUGCCCAGAUGGGAUUAGCUAGUAGGUGGGGUAAAGGCUCACCUAGGCGACGAUCCCUAGCUGGUCUGAGAGGAUGACCAGCCACACUGGAACUGAGACACGGUCCAGACUCCUACGGGAGGCAGCAGUGGGGAAUAUUGGACAAUGGGGGCAAGCCUGAUGCAGCCAUGCCGCGUGUAUGAUGAAGGCCUUCGGGUUGUAAAGUACUUUCGGCGGGGAGGCGGUACCUGCAGAAGAAGCACCGGCUAACUACGUGCCAGCAGCCGCGGUAAUAC
rnacentral:rRNA from 1 species